GGAGAUAUAGCUCAAAUGGUAGAGCGUUCGCUUUGCAUGCGAGGGGCAUAGGGUUUGAACCCCCACUCUCCA
rnacentral:tRNA from 1 species